GACGAACGCUGGCGGCGUGCCUAAUACAUGCAAGUAGAACGCUGAAGAGAGGAGCUUGCUCUUCUUGGAUGAGUUGCGAACGGGUGAGUAACGCGUAGGUAACCUGCCUGGUAGCGGGGGAUAACUAUUGGAAACGAUAGCUAAUACCGCAUAAAAUUGAUUAUUGCAUGAUAAUUAAUUGAAAGAUGCAACUGCAUCACUACCAGAUGGACCUGCGUUGUAUUAGCUAGUUGGUGAGGUAACGGCUCACCAAGGCGACGAUACAUAGCCGACCUGAGAGGGUGAUCGGCCACACUGGGACUGAGACACGGCCCAGACUCCUACAGGAGGCAGCAGUAGGGAAUCUUCGGCAAUGGGGGGAACCCUGACCGAGCAACGCCGCGUGAGUGAAGAAGGUUUUCGGAUCGUAAAGCUCUGUUGUAAGAGAAGAACGGGUGUGAGAGUGGAAAGUUCACACUGUGACGGUAUCUUACCAGAAAGGGACGGCUAACUACGUGCCAGCAGCCGCGGUAAUACGUAGGUCCCGAGCGUUGUCCGGAUUUAUUGGGCGUAAAGCGAGCGCAGGCGGUUAGAUAAGUCUGAAGUUAAAGGCUGUGGCUUAACCAUAGUAUGCUUUGGAAACUGUUUAACUUGAGUGCAGAAGGGGAGAGUGGAAUUCCAUGUGUAGCGGUGAAAUGCGUAGAUAUAUGGAGGAACACCGGUGGCGAAAGCGGCUCUCUGGUCUGUAACUGACGCUGAGGCUCGAAAGCGUGGGGAGCAAACAGGAUUAGAUACCCUGGUAGUCCACGCCGUAAACGAUGAGUGCUAGGUGUUAGGCCCUUUCCGGGGCUUAGUGCCGCAGCUAACGCAUUAAGCACUCCGCCUGGGGAGUACGACCGCAAGGUUGAAACUCAAAGGAAUUGACGGGGGCCCGCACAAGCGGUGGAGCAUGUGGUUUAAUUCGAAGCAACGCGAAGAACCUUACCAGGUCUUGACAUCCCUCUGACCGCUCUAGAGAUAGAGUUUUCCUUCGGGACAGAGGUGACAGGUGGUGCAUGGUUGUCGUCAGCUCGUGUCGUGAGAUGUUGGGUUAAGUCCCGCAACGAGCGCAACCCCUAUUGUUAGUUGCCAUCAUUCAGUUGGGCACUCUAGCGAGACUGCCGGUAAUAAACCGGAGGAAGGUGGGGAUGACGUCAAAUCAUCAUGCCCCUUAUGACCUGGGCUACACACGUGCUACAAUGGCUGGUACAACGAGUCGCAAGCCGGUGACGGCAAGCUAAUCUCUGAAAGCCAGUCUCAGUUCGGAUUGUAGGCUGCAACUCGCCUACAUGAAGUCGGAAUCGCUAGUAAUCGCGGAUCAGCACGCCGCGGUGAAUACGUUCCCGGGCCU
rnacentral:rRNA from 1 species